CCGGAGCGAGGGAGCUGGGUAACCCGCCUGCUUCGGGAGCAGGACACGCCGGGUUCGAUCCCCGGGCUCCGGA
rnacentral:tRNA from 1 species